CAGUCGCCACGGUAAUACGUAGGGUGCGAGCGUUAAUCGGAAUUACUGGGCGUAAAGCGUGCGCAGGCGGUUCGUUAAGACAGAUGUGAAAUCCCCGGGCUUAACCUGGGAACUGCAUUUGUGACUGUAUAGCUAGAGUACGGCAGAGGGGGAUGGAAUUCCGCGUGUAGCAGUGAAAUGCGUAGAUAUGCGGAGGAACACCGAUGGCGAAGGCAAUCCCCUGGGCCUGUACUGACGCUCAUGCACGAAAGCGUGGGGAGCAAACAGGAUUAGAUACCCCGGUAGUCCCUGUCUCUUAUAC
rnacentral:rRNA from 1 species